rnacentral:misc_RNA from 1 species
AACGCACAUUGCGCCCCUUGGUAUUCCAUGGGGCAUGCCUGUUCGAGCGUCAUCUACACCCUCAAGCUCUGCUUGGUGUUGGGCGUCUGUCCCGCCUCUGUGCGCGGACUCGCCCCAAACUCAUUGGCAGCGGUCUUUGCCUCCUCUCGCGCAGCACAUUGCGCUUCUCGAGGUGUUGCGGCCCGCGUCCACGAAGCUCAUUUUUAUCGUCUUUGACCUCGGAUCAGGUAGGGAUACCCGCUGAACUUAA